GAUGAACGCUGGCGGCGUGCCUAAUACAUGCAAGUCGAGCGAACAGACGAGGAGCUUGCUCCUCUGACGUUAGCGGCGGACGGGUGAGUAACACGUGGAUAACCUACCUAUAAGACUGGGAUAACUUCGGGAAACCGGAGCUAAUACCGGAUAAUAUAUUGAACCGCAUGGUUCAAUAGUGAAAGACGGUUUUGCUGUCACUUAUAGAUGGAUCCGCGCCGCAGUAGCUAGUUGGUAAGGUAACGGCUUACCAAGGCGACGAUGCGUAGCCGACCUGAGAGGGUGAUCAGCCACACUGGAACUGAGACACGGUCCAGACUCCUACGGGAGGCAGCAGUAGGGAAUCUUCCGCAAUGGGCGAAAGCCUGACGGAGCAACGCCGCGUGAGUGAUGAAGGUCUUCGGAUCGUAAAACUCUGUUAUUAGGGAAGAACAACUGUGUAAGUAACUAUGCACGUCUUGACGGUACCUAAUCAGAAAGCCACGGCUAACUACGUG
rnacentral:rRNA from 1 species